CGGACCGGCGCGACGGUGAGUAACGCGUAUGCAACUUACCUAUCAGAGGGGGAUAACCCGGCGAAAGUCGGACUAAUACCGCAUGAAGCAGGGGCCCCGCAUGGGGAUAUUUGCUAAAGAUUCAUCGCUGAUAGAUAGGCAUGCGUUCCAUUAGGCAGUUGGCGGGGUAACGGCCCACCAAACCGACGAUGGAUAGGGGUUCUGAGAGGAAGGUCCCCCACAUUGGUACUGAGACACGGACCAA
rnacentral:rRNA from 1 species